CAUUAUUGAAUACUGAAUCGGUUCUGAUGCUGGCUCUUUACUGGGCAUGUGCUCGUCCGUUCAUAUUUACCUUCUCUUGUGCACAUUUUGUAGUCCUUUGGAACAAGUGAAUUUCGCGCUGCUGUGAUUAACUUCGCGGUGGUUGCGGUUUGGGGGAUUGGGUGUAACAGCCCUUCCUCUGUUUAUGCGCGUUGCUGCGAUUUACUUCGUGGUGACUGCGGUUUGGGGGUUGAGCGUCAGCACUUCCCCUCCUUUUGCUUUUUUCAAGGCUACGUUUUCAUAUACCCUAUACAAUGUUACAGAAUGUCUUUAAAGAUUGUGCUUGGUCGCAGUCAUUAAACCUAUACAACUUUCAGCAACGGAUCUCUUGGCUCUCCCAUCGAUGAAGAACGCAGCGAAAUGCGAUAAGUAAUGUGAAUUGCAGAAUUCAGUGAAUCAUCGAAUCUUUGAACGCACCUUGCGCCCUUUGGUAUUCCGAAGAGCAUGCCUGUUUGAGUGUCAUUAAAUUAUCAACCUUGUUCGCUUUUACGAGCUUGAGCGAGGCUUGGAUGUGAGGGCUUGCUGGCUUCCUUCAGUGGAUGGUCUGCUCCCUUUAAAUGCAUUAGUGGGAUCUCUUGUGGACCGUCACUUGGUGUGAUAAUUAUCUAUGCCAUUUGACUGUGAAGCAAAAUUAUGGGAACCUGCUUAUAACCGUCUCGCAAGGGACAAUUUAAUUGACUAUUUG
rnacentral:rRNA from 1 species